AAUAGAUACCCUGGUAGUCCACGCCGUAAACGAUGGAUACUAGCUGUUUGAGCGCAAGUUUGAGUGGCUAAGCGAAAGUGAUAAGUAUCCCACCUGGGGAGUACGGGCGCAAGCCUGAAACUCAAAGGAAUUGACGGGGGCCCGCACAAGCGGUGGAGCAUGUGGUUUAAUUCGAUGAUACGCGAGGAACCUUACCAGGGCUUAAAUGUAGAUUGACGUAUUUGGAAACAGAUAUUUCUUCGGACAAUUUACAAGGUGCUGCAUGGUUGUCGUCAGCUCGUGCCGUGAGGUGUCAGGUUAAGUCCUAUAACGAGCGCAACCCCUGUUGUUAGUUGCCAGCGAGUAAUGUCGGGAACUCUAGGCAAGACUGCCAGUGUAAACUGUGAGGAAGGUGGGGAUGACGUCAAAUCAUCACGGCCCUUACGUCCUGGGCCACACACGUGCUACAAUGGCCGGUACAGAGAGCAGCCACUUAGCGAUAAGGAGCGAAUCUAUAAAGGCCGGUCACAGUUCGGAUCGGAGUCUGA
rnacentral:rRNA from 1 species